CCAGAAGCUUCUCGCAUGCACUCUCUUCCUCUCAAGAACUCUCUCUCGGUCUCUCCCGCUCUCUCUUAUCCUCUCUGACGACAUCACGCCUUGCUCAUGGUCAAGACGACGUAGCUGCUGGUUAGUUCGGGGUUUGACGCCAAUCUUCAGUUCGAGGCUACGGCGGAGAUGGAGUUCGGGUCAUUCGGUGUUGCACCGUCGACAUUGAUGACUUGUAGAACCCGACAUGCAAGGUCAUCGUUCUUCUCCUCUUGUCAUUGUGAGAAGACCCAGACCUCUCCAAGUUGUAAGUAUACGUCUGGGAACCUAUCUCGUGUUCAAUCUUUGAUUAUCAAAGAAAUAAGUUUGAUUUUGGGUUUUUGAACUUGGCUUUUGGUUUUCGGUGAUGUUGGGAGGCUGGGACUUAAUUGGGUGAGUUCAAUGGGUGGAGUCGGAUAACAAGUUGGCGCUAGUUCCAAUGGAGUCAUGCGUUGAGAAAAGAGAAGGAACCAGAGAAGUAGAAGAAGGCGUGCUGCUGCUUCUUGUCCAACAACGCAGCAAGAAGGAAAAUGUUUAAGCUAAUUUAUAAGACCUCCAAUUAUCCAUGAUGCAAGUAGUGGUGGUGUUUGCCGAACAUUGUGGAGUAAAGGCUCAAGCUCCAGGAAUACCAGGUAGGGGAUUCAAGACUCUCCUUGAUUAGUGGCUUUCAUAUAUAACGUAUAUACAAUGGUGAUUGCAUGGCUAUGGUUAUUUCCUUAUGAAUUUAAAGAUUUUGAUAUUUUAAUCGCCAUGCUUGUUUUCAAUUAUUUUUUGAGAUUGUAUGAUGACCUGAGAGUGAGCGGAGCAUAGCGACUACCUUGGGUUUCAAUCCCCUAAACCUCCGGAGGGGCUAUAUGGACGGUAUAGUGUCUGACAUCCUUUGUGGUGUGGCACUAUUUCUAGGUGAUAUGGCGUAAAUGGACACUCUCGCUACUCCUUGCCGGUUAUGAUGUAAAUCUUGGUAAGGGUGUAGUUGGCAUAUAUAGUGACCGAUCAUCAGGUUUGUGUUUUCUGGGCCCGCAAAUGUUUUUGAGACAAAAAUCUCUACCUUAUGAUUUGAUCUUGGGUUUUAUUUGUAUACAUGGUUUUCACAUACUGGCCAGUAAAUUAAAUAGUUUUCAAACCUAGUCAGGUUGAGUCUUUUUUGAGCAACGAUGACGAAAGCUCACCCCUACAACAGCUUUGGAUGCAGGUACUGUGCACAAGAAUGGAGAGAGCUGAAUCAAGCUGGGUGUGCAUAAUUGUUCAAUGUUAAGUGUCUUUGAAACUUUGAAAUCACACGUAAGGUUUCAAGUUCAUAUCCUAGUGUUUGGCACAUUUCUUGUAUUAUUGGAAAUCUUGCUCGGAACUGUUUGUCUGCAAUUGCCUUAUUCUUCGACCACUUACCCACACCGUCAAUGAGCCAUGUUUUGGUUAAUCGUGAAAAUGUCAUUUUUGAGUUGUACUUUGACACUAUUCUUGCCUUGUGAUCUUUAGUUCGA